CCUACGGGAGGCUGCAGUGGGGAAUAUUGCACAAUGGGGGAAACCCUGAUGCAGCGACGCCGCGUGAGUGAAGAAGUAUCUCGGUACGUAAAGCUCUAUCAUCAGGGAAGAACAUGACGGUACCUGACUAAGAAGCCCCGGCUAACUACGUGCCAGCAGCCGCGGUCAUACGUAGGGGGCAAGCGUUAUCCGGAUUUACUGGGGGUAAAGGGAGCGUAGACGGCAGCACAAGUCUGGAGUGAAAGCCCGGGGCUUAACCCCGGAACUGCGUUGGAAACUGGGCGGCUGGAGUGCAGGAGGGGUAAGCGGAAUUCCUGGUGUAGCGGUGAAAUGCGUAGAUAUAAGGAGGAACACCAGUGGCGAAGGCGGCUUACUGGUCUGUAACUGACGUUGAGGCUCGAAAGCGUGGGGAGCAAACAGGAUUAGAUACCCGAGUAGUC
rnacentral:rRNA from 1 species